CCUACGGGGGGCAGCAGUGGGGAAUAUUGGACAAUGGGGGCAACCCUGAUCCAGCCAUGCCGCGUGUGUGAAGAAGGCCCUCGGGUUGUAAAGCACUUUCAGUGAGGAAGAACGCCUGGUGGUUAAUACCCAUCAGGAAAGACAUCACUCACAGAAGAAGCACCGGCUAACUCCGUGCCAGCAGCCGCGGUAAUACGGAGGGUGCGAGCGUUAAUCGGAAUUACUGGGCGUAAAGCGCGCGUAGGUGGCUUGAUAAGCCGGUUGUGAAAGCCCCGGGCUCAACCUGGGAACGGCAUCCGGAACUGUCAAGCUAGAGUGCAGGAGAGGAAGGUAGAUUUCCCGGUGUAGCGGUGAAAUGCGUAGAGAUCGGGAGGAAUACCAGUGGCGAAGGCGGCCUUCUGGACUGACACUGACACUGAGGUGCGAAAGCGUGGGUAGCAAACAGGAUUAGAUACCCCUGUAGUC
rnacentral:rRNA from 1 species